CUCUCCCCAGGAUCCUAGAGAUAGCACAGCCCUACUGACACCCUGAUCCAGACUUCCAACUUCUGGACUGGUUGAUGGCAAACCUCACCAAGGUUGGCAAAAUUCACCAAGCCAGCAGGAGCCACUGAAGACUGGAUUGCUGAAGACCUGGCGCAGCCCAUACCGCAGGAAGAGUCUCAUUGCAUGCAGCCAUUGGCUCUGUCUCCACUAAGACUUGUGACCACUGCUACUCACUCUCCACUCUGUCAUCAUUGCUGCUGCCACCAACAACCUCCAAGUGUUGUUGAGCUUUUGUCUUAGUCUCUGCUAGUUCAUAAAGAGUUAAGGAAGUGAUGGGAAAAAAAUGUCAAUAAUGGCAAUUAAACAUACAUCAAAUCUAUGGCUGUUCAUGCACAAAUGAAAAUAUCAACCAACAUCUGUGUCAGAAUGGCACCAAUUCAUCAGCUGCAAUCAGCUUGG